UACAGAGGUCUCAAGCGUUGUUCGGAUUCAUUGGGCGUAAAGGGUGCGUAGGCGGCGUGGUAAGUCGGAUGUGAAAUCUCGGAGCUUAACUCCGAAACUGCAUUCGAUACUGCCGUGCUUGAGGACUGGAGAGGAGACUGGAAUUUACGGUGUAGCGGUGAAAUGCGUAGGUAUCGUAAGGAAGACCAGUGGCGAAGGCGGGUCUCUGGACAGUUCCUGACGCUGAGGCACGAAGGCCAGGGGAGCAAACGGG
rnacentral:rRNA from 1 species